rnacentral:rRNA from 1 species
CGUGUAGGCGGCCAGGUAGGUCGGUUGUGAAAACUAGAGGCUCAACCUCUAGACGUCGACCGAAACCACUUGGCUAGAGUCCGGAAGAGGAGAGUGGAAUUCCUGGUGUAGCGGUGAAAUGCGCAGAUAUCAGGAAGAACACCCGUGGCGAAGGCGGCUCUCUGGGACGGUACUGACGCUGAGACGCGAAAGCGUGGGGAGCGAACA